rnacentral:lncRNA from 1 species
CAGGGAAGAUGCACAUCUGCCUUCUGUGAAGAGGCCACACCCCCAGCCUUUCAGAUGACAUGCAGAGGUCAGAGGUCAGCUCAGAUAGAUGAGAAUCCAUCAAAGAACAAGAGAGCGGGGAAGGCCCUAAAGAACAUACAGUCCCACGUGUUCUUUUGACAGACAAGAAAACUAAGACUCCAAGAAGGAAGAAUAACAGCUCACCUGGAUAACAGGGCUGAGGGGCACGAAAAGAGUCUGGCUGCUGAAAUCUCAAGAAUGCUGGGUCUCUCCUAAGGCAUCUGAGAACCGUGUCCUUGGGCAGACAUCAGCAGCCUCCACACCAGC